GAGCUACUACACGUCCGUGGUUCCCACAGCUGUCCUUGUACAUGUCUGUUCCUUCAUAUAAUUAAGUGCGAAUUGCUUACAUGCUAAACGAAGAUGAUGAUGAGCAUGUUGGCAUUGGCAUUGUGAAAUGUUAGCAUACUGACAUAAACCUGUUAGUUGUGUGUUAGUGUAACCCAUAUAGAAUAUGCUGUCACUAAAGGGUUAACUAGUCGAGUGUCAAAUUACAUGAUGCCAGUAGAGGGAGAAAACAGUAGAGAGAAAAAACAGUAAGAUAUCUAGUCAAUUCUAAUCAGGAGUUAUAAUUUUGUACUAUUAACUCGAGGACUGCAUUGUGGGAGACACUUUUCUGUUGUUCUUCACCGUGUUUUCCUGCCGAAACCUCCGAUUGUUUUUUUUUAUCCUGGAUUUAGUUUGGUUCCAAACCAUACCGACUUCGAUAGCGAGCCUGUCCCAGUGAGUGAUAUUCCACAGAAGGAACGUUUGGACGCAGUGUGGCCAGCUGUGUCGGAUUCUCUUCUGCGGUGUGACUGAACUGAAUUGGACUGAACUGGAUUCCAUGGAUUCCAGAUAAGGAAACUUGAAUGUGUUUUUGGUUUACAACCCGGAUGUCGGAUCUCCUCACAGAUACUCUGCUCCAUGGUACCUUUGCCCAGGCCAAAACUACGUAAGGUAGACAAGGCAAAGCGUCGCUGUCUCUUCCAUGUUUCACCAUUGCUUGAGAACAGACCACCUAGAUGCAAGCAUGCAGAAGAAAUAGAGUUAAGGACUCAGGGGAACUAAUUCCUGCAUAGCAUGAGACAAGAGAAAGGGAGAGAUUUGUACACCUGAGUCUCCUGAGUAUAACCUGUCAACCAUUGCACUGUAUGGUCGAUCCACAAAAUUCUCAGCUUGUGUCACUAUGGCUUCCUUCACCAUCUUGUACCCAGACACAAACACCAUCUUCUCACCGCCAAGGCGGACACUAAACACAUUCCCAUAGAUGUCAGCCAGCUGUUGACAACACAUUUGGAAACAAACACUAAUGAAUCACAACACACCAGUGUCUGCAUCAUGUACAUUUUUUAAUUGUUCAAAAACAAAAUCUACAAAUGCGCAAUGAGGAACAAAUGGGCAACCAGGUUAACAAAAUCAGAAUUUACAUUUCUAUUAACAAUUUAACCACCAGAUGUCAGUAUCUGUCUUCUAUAUAAAAAUAAGUA